GUGUGCUCAAUCCGUCCUCAAAUCAACCCCGUCGUCCCAACCAUUGCUUGGGCUUUGUUCUAGGCCUCAAGAGGAUGCCAUGGGUGGUGGCAAUUGAAAGAAAUCAUUUCAAAAUUGAGAGAAUCGAAGGCUAGGGUUCAUCGCACCCACCGGUGUGAUUUUACUAAUUUGGAGGCCAAUUAUCACCAAAUUUGGGGUGGGAAGGAUAGAGGAUAGGUCCUAGAGUGUUUCCCGAGUGGUUAGGCGGUUCAAUUCGACGGAAAAAUAGGUGGAAACGCACCGGAAACAGCAAGAGAUCCCGACUGGGUCGGGUUGCACACCCACGGGUCAGGGAUCCCCCGCACCUCCUUUCCCUCAUUUCUCUGAAUUCUGAUUGGUCCUUCCUUUCUCUCACUAUUCCAAUUGGUCCAUCUCCUCCUUCCUUGGUUAGGCAGCCAAUCCUCCUUCUUCUUUCUUUUGUUUCUGAUUGGGCAGUCCAUAUUUCCCUUCUCUAACUGGGCAGCGCCCAAACCUUUAAUUUCCCUCUCCAAAACUGAAAUUCUACCACAAUUAAUAAAAUUACCAAAAUGUCCCAAACUUUAAACGUUAAUAUCCUCUUCGAUAUAACUCCAAAUCACGAACCGCUUGCGCACACGCGUCCGUAGCGACGAGUACUACAAGAAUAUGCCAAGAAAUCAAGUCUUACGUGUCAUUACAAGCGAUUAACACAAAUCAAGACAUAUGUCUCAAAGGGCCUUUUCGAAAUUCCACGUAAUACAAUUAUAAAAAUCAUAAUUUUUCGGGACGCGCUGUCACAAUCUUCCCCCCUUAAAAAAUUUCGUCCCCGAAAUUUAAAAUAAUUUGCUAAAGGUAAAAUGCUCGAAAGUAAGAAGAGUACCUCUAUAAAAAUACUUACACAAGGAAUAAAUUAAGUUAGAGUGGUUGCAUAAAAGAGUGCCAUUCCGUCGUGAUCGGAUUGCGAUUAUUCCUCUUCCAUGCCUCCAACUCAUACCUUUUUCCUUCCUCGUCAGUAUAAUAAUAUAGCAUCCGCAAAAUCCGUAAAGUAAGAAUGCCACUUACCACGUAAUGGCUUAGGAAAAGUUUACGGAUAUAUAAAACAACUAUCAAUAUAGAAACUUUCAGUUCAAACACUUGCUCCAAACUUAAAACCAAGAGUAGAAAUAACUUACUCAACAAUUGCAAAAUCAGAAAUACUCAAUAAAUAAAAUAGCCUCAUAAAAAUGAUGGCACGAAAAAUCAAAAUUCAAAGUGAAAAUGGUCCUUGCCAAACAUUGUCAUGACACGAACUUCGAGAAUAAGUCCGAAUUAUAUCUAACUAGCAACUACUACUAAAGAUGAGCCGUCUUGCCUACUAGCUUAGAGUGCCCAAUAAAUAAGCCAACGAUAUUACUGUUUGUAGCCUGUAAUGUCGAUAGUUCGUCGUCGUCUCAAUAAGUUAGUAAGAAUCAUCUUGCUCCUCGAAUGCAAUUAUGUCCAAAUCAUCCAAUUCGUGCCUUGAUCACAACACCAUAAAAUCUUCAAGCGCAUCAAUCUAACUGUUAGGAGUGCUUGAUAUCCAUGUGCUCCCCAAAUUAUCAAGUCCUAGAAUGACGUCCUGAAAAGAUGCGUGUAGAAGAACAUAUAUCAUCAAAUAUUUUCUUCGCGAUUAUUCACUAACAUCACUCACCAAAUCAAGAAUAUAACCUCUGAAAUCCAAUAUUUGAGAAUCCCAAUCUUUAUCGACAACAUUCAAGCGACAAUUGUAAUCUCAAUCUUACAUGGAGAGUGUCGUCAAUAUUACUAGGCUUCACACCUUCACCAAUACUCAGCUGAAAUCCAUUUGAUUCUCAAUACCACAUGAAUUUUCUUUUUGGGUAAGUCCAAUAAACUCAUGAGGAGAUUGUACUUCAAUGUUUCUUGUACACAUCGAUAUAAAACUGGCGUACGCCUCCGCCGAGUCAAUGUAUCAUGAAUUACUCAUUGAUUGGGCGAGAACCUAUGUCAAUGAGACUAGAGCACACUUGAGAAUCCGAGAACCAAAACAAGGUCAUCAACUUCAAAGUUCAAGAUAUCCAACUGAUUGGUUAUCAUUACCCAACCAAAAACAACUUCCAGAAUACUCAAUCACCAACGGUAAUGAUCUAAUCUACAGAGUAAUCGACAAGUGAUUGAGGAAUUAACUAUUCCAACUAGAUUUCAAUAUCCAAGCAAUUCUUCCCGAAAGACUAUCUGUCCUUGAAAAUAGUGUGAACUGCAAUAGGGUAGGCAUGUACCAAAGUUGACCAAAUACAUUCUUAGCACAAGGAAUGAAUAUGAAGUCAUGACCAGAAAUGAUGUUGACCAAAAUGUCAACUAACCGAUAAAUUCAAGAAUAGGUAAUUUAUAACAAGUGGUCCAAUUGUAGCUCCCUCAGGAUUAAUGAAAGAAUGGAUUGAUUACCAAGUCAAUCCACAAACAUCAAGAUAUCAAUACAACUCCAUAUGUACCAAGAUACCUCUUCAUUCAUUCCUUGACGAAUCAAAGUAACGUCAAUUAUACCCAAAUAGGCCAACUAUACAAGGAUGAGGGAGACUAAGAUAUUCAGGGUAAAAACCAUCUAUACAACAAUGCUCAAUAAUUAUGAUUAUACAAUCGGGAUAAUACAUGAUAAUGCAAUCAUAGGCGUUGAUUUAAUUCCUCCAAUGCUGCUGCCAGCAACUUACCCUGUUUAAAAGUAAGUGUAAUUAAAAAGCUCCAAAGUUAAUGAAGAUUUUGGACACACUUCUCCACAAAUAAGUACCAAACCAUUUUCAAAUGAAAAUGACCAUUGUUACCUCCAAACACACAUAAAAUAAUUCAUCUUUAUUGGUUCCACUGCUAGGAAGCAUAAGUGUUACCCCAUCUCGAUGCAUUUACUUAACCAACAUCCGAGAAAAGACGUCACCUUAAAUUCCAAAAUUUCUCACUGCUACCAAAGGAUGUAAAAAUCAUAUGAAGAAAAGGGCAACACUUAAACUGUCAUAACUCUUUAUUCACAACUCACAUCACACACUAAACCAACUUCUUCGAUCAAAAGUGAUGCAGAACACUAUAGCUGUAAGUUCGUUCAUCAAUAGUCAAUAACCUCAACAAGACCAGGAAUAUCUUAAAUCUCACAAUACUUUACGAGGAUUUCGACCUUCAUCCUCAAACUCUUUUUGGAAUGAGAGAAGAAUACCGUCUGUGAAGAUCACACCUUGCAAGAUAAGUACCAAUCCAAAUAAAACUGUGUCUGAGGAAGAUAGCUCCAACCGUCACUUAAGAAAUGACUAAAUCUAGGUAAAAUCCCAAAGUUCGAAGUUCCCUAAAUAGGAGACUUGGCUGAAUAAAUUCCUUAGUCAAUAAACGUUAGAACGUAACGUCUGAACAAAGCCUUGCUCGUGCUCACGUACUACCUUUCCAAACAUCAUGUCAAUAAUCAUAAAAUUUCUAUGACACAAUCUUGAUCAUCCAAAUACCUGAUUACAAUGCUCCUCCACAAUUCACGUACUAUCCAGUACUCAUAACCUCAGGAAAGACUUUCCAAUUCUUGAAGUAAAACAUGUAAUACGACGAUUUACAAUUAUAUCCAAAUAAUAAUCUAGUUCGUUUUCUAAUUGCCCGAACUAGUAUAAGAGUCCAAAGUAGCUCUCUCAUAAUGCCAUCAUCCUUUGGAAACAACAGUAAGAAACUGUGGUUGCCCAGGAAGUUGAACUGUAUAUCCUCAAACACUCUUCUGCUCUAACCAAAGGCAGGCUCGCCUAAACUGAGAAUUUCCUUCAAUCACAUUAGGUGGAGCCUCGACUUUUAAUUCCUUUUAUAUCUCCACACCUGAUUGGAUCGUGAACACAGAUUUUUAUAUCACAAGGUGAGAGAAAAUCAAUAACAACUCACCUUUCUAUCUCAGUUGAUCCACCGAUGCUGGUCGUCGAAAUUCUAGCGCCCUGUUAAAGGAAAGAAAACAUCGCCAAUAGUUUAAGCUUUAGGGCUAGAAGAAUACAGCUUCCCACUUAAGUAAAGCUACCAUCCACUAAAACACCACAUAAGCAUAGCAUAGGUCCAACACCAUGACUAUUGAUUCUCACAUCAUUUACACAUACAAGAUACUUCGUACUAAGAGUGUACAAUAUCACUUUCCAAGUCCAAUCAUACACCCAAGGUGAUAUUUCCAAAGUGCUUUUCCAUUAAAUGCUAUUACAUUAGCACCAUCAUCACACAAGACUAUCUUUGAGUCUUAACAAGGUAGACUUCACAAGAAUUCUAAUAGGUACUGUUAAGGAAUCAAACUAUUUCGGAGUUCCAAUCUCAACAGUUUAAUGCUGAUGGCUAGAGGAUAAGUAUCAAAUUAAUUGGCAAAGCAUCUGAUAACACCCAAUGAUGCGCUAACCCUAAUUUAGGCCAUCCUCUUUCCUCUGAUUCGCUCCUUGAUAGAGAAUUUCUUCACUUUAAUUAUGAGAACAUUCGCCGGAGUGCUCUUCUAAAACAUCAAGAAGUCGACCCAACUACCAAAACUUAGAGAAGCUACUGCAUUUUCUCGUAAUCGACGAGGUGGCAAGAUCCAAAUAGUAGACAUGAAAACCAAGAAUGCUCACAUCACGCGUGUGAUGAACGCAAUACUGCCCAACUUAUGCUCUGAUACCAAACUGACACACCCCGAUCCAGAAUGUCCACUAGGACCCCGAAUCGAGCUGUGCUGGCCGCCACCUGGAAGGUGACGAAGCCAUAAAGUGAUGAUAAGGAAAAAUGCGAAUAAUUUUAAACCUAAAGGUGCCUAAUAACAGAGUGCACUGUGCGUGGGUAUGAACCCAAAUCACACGUGAUGUCAGAGCAUAGUCAAGUACAACAAUAUAUGUAGAAAUCGUACCCACAAAAGUAGCCACUUUAACAGGGACAUGCCACGAAUCCUCGUCGAUAAGGAACUUUGCUACUAGAACCUGGAGGGGCGCAAAACAGAAAACGUGAGUGGGCAAAAAAUAAAGCUUUUCAAAACAUCUCAUUUAUUCAACAUUUAUAACCCCUCUCUGAAAAACCUGUAUACUUUCCCAGAAAAUAAUAUAUAAUCGUAUAUAAACUUAUAUAUAUCAUCAAAAGCUCAAAUCACAAUCCUUCAACGCUUUUCAGAAAGAAUUUGCCAUGCCAUGCCAUAUGCCAAAAUAUAAUAUGAAUGCAUCAAUAUAAAUCAGGUGAAAGAAUAAAUCAACCGGAGACCCUGUAGUGGUCCUGUACGGCUGAUUCUAUAGCUCAAUAUCCCAUCCAGCCGGAGUCACCAACUGUGACCUGUACGGCCCUGCCGGAGUCACCAAAUGUGACCUGUACGGUACUACACUGCACAUAAGUCGAAACUACCUAUAGUAGUCUGUACGAAUAAGAUGGUGAAAUAAUACGCUCUAGUGCUUCUCUCAUCAAUCAUCUGUGCACAUAAUCUAAAGUCACCUACCAGUCGGAACCCCUCUAAUGGUCUGUACGACUGGCAUGUCGGAACCACCUCUAGUGGUCUGUNAAUAUCACUUUCCAAGUCCAAUCAUACACCCAAGGUGAUAUUUCCAAAGUGCUUUUCCAUUAAAUGCUAUUACAUUAGCACCAUCAUCACACAAGACUAUCUUUGAGUCUUAACAAGGUAGACUUCACAAGAAUUCUAAUAGGUACUGUUAAGGAAUCAAACUAUUUCGGAGUUCCAAUCUCAACAGUUUAAUGCUGAUGGCUAGAGGAUAAGUAUCAAAUUAAUUGGCAAAGCAUCUGAUAACACCCAAUGAUGCGCUAACCCUAAUUUAGGCCAUCCUUCUUCCUCUGAUUCGCUCCUUGAUAGAGAAUUUCUUCACUUUAAUUAUGAGAACAUUCGCCGGAGUGCUCUUCUAAAACAUCAAGAAGUCGACCCAACUACCAAAACUUAGAGAAGCUACUGCAUUUUCUCGUAAUCGACGAGGUGGCAAGAUCCAAAUAGUAGACAUGAAAACCAAGAAUGCUCACAUCACGCGUGUGAUGAACGCAAUACUGCCCAACUUAUGCUCUGAUACCAAACUGACACACCCCGAUCCAGAAUGUCCACUAGGACCCCGAAUCGAGCUGUGCUGGCCGCCACCUGGAAGGUGACGAAGCCAUAAAGUGAUGAUAAGGAAAAAUGCGAAUAAUUUUAAACCUAAAGGUGCCUAAUAACAGAGUGCACUGUGCGUGGGUAUGAACCCAAAUCACACGUGAUGUCAGAGCAUAGUCAAGUACAACAAUAUAUGUAGAAAUCGUACCCACAAAAGUAGCCACUUUAACAGGGACAUGCCACGAAUCCUCGUCGAUAAGGAACUUUGCUACUAGAACCUGGAGGGGCGCAAAACAGAAAACGUGAGUGGGCAAAAAAUAAAGCUUUUCAAAACAUCUCAUUUAUUCAACAUUUAUAACCCCUCUCUGAAAAACCUGUAUACUUUCCCAGAAAAUAAUAUAUAAUCGUAUAUAAACUUAUAUAUAUCAUCAAAAGCUCAAAUCACAAUCCUUCAACGCUUUUCAGAAAGAAUUUGCCAUGCCAUGCCAUAUGCCAAAAAAUAAUAUGAAUGCAUCAAUAUAAAAUCAGGUGAAAGAAUAAAUCAACCGGAGACCCCUGUAGUGGUCCUGUACGGCUGAUUCUAUAGCUCAAUAUCCCAUCCAGCCGGAGUCACCAACUGUGACCUGUACGGCCCUGCCGGAGUCACCAAAUGUGACCUGUACGGUACUACACUGCACAUAAGUCGAAACUACCUAUAGUAGUCUGUACGAAUAAGAUGGUGAAAUAAUACGCUCUAGUGCUUCUCUCAUCAAUCAUCUGUGCACAUAAUCUAAAGUCACCUACCAGUCGGAACCCCUCUAAUGGUCUGUACGACUGGCAUGUCGGAACCACCUCUAGUGGUCUGUACGACUAGCAUUUACUUGGAUCCAUGGUGAGCGUGUGAUGCAGGGUGAAUAACAUAAGCACUAACACCGAGGGUGCAGGUUAUGAGCUCUCAACACAAUUCACAUCAUCAAUAAAUCACUUGAACAACAUAAACCUCACCUGAGACUCACCUGUGCGUCCACAGCACCAUUUCACAUAUAUGCAUCAUAUACCAAAUCAUAUCAUUCAUAUAAUUUCUAUGCAUGGCAUUUCAAAACUCAUUUCAUAACGCAUUUCAUUUAACUCGAUUUCUGGGAAAAUCAAUAGUAUAUAUAUAUAGAAAACAAAUGCCCACUCACCUGGGGUCCGCUACGACUCCCUAACAUCAAAACCAAGGCAUCCCGAACGCUCGGCUCCUAAAACAGUUAUCAAACCACGUCUCAGAACUCUUAUCCAUAGAAUAUGAAAUUCACAUAACACAUAGCCACAAGGGCAUUCAAGAAUAAUGCGAGACCCUUUGAUCAAAGGUCAACCGUCGACUAAGUUCGACAGUAGGGUCAUAAACCCACAUAACUCAAUCCGAAAGAUCCACAACUCAGAUUUCCGAUCCGUCACUCCCCAACAUACACAUUAAGCCUCUAGAACAAUAUACUAAAAUUUUGUUACAAUCUGACGGUUGGAUAUCCGCCAAUUUCCAAGACUAAGUGGCGGUUAACCUUUUAUUUUAUGAACUUACAAAUCCAAUUCGGGAAGAUCCGUCCAUCGAAUUCCCGAUCCGUAAGUUCCCACAUUCUUCAAAUAUUAUGUACUACUACAUAUCAAAGUUUGGUGAAGAUCCGACGGUUGGAUCUUCGAUUCACCUUUUGGCCUAACCAUGAAUCGUAUCGAAUUUAAGUCCAAAUGAUCAACCAACGACAAAACACUAUCAAAACUGAAUUUAGGAUAUCAAACAUAGCCUAAAAAUAACAUUGACGGUCCACUGGCCAUGCGCCGCCGCACGCGCCGCCGUGGGUGGCGGUCGGCCGCCCCGGCUCGCCGGAAAAUUCAACUAUUUUAAAAAAUUACCAAAAUUUAUAGAAAUGAAGAUCUCAAUUAGUAGAGAAACUUUCAUACCUGUGGCCAAGGCCAAUUCGGUCGUCAAGGCCUCCAAUUUCAACAAAAUCCGUCAGAAACCCUAGGUUUUUAGGUGUGCUCAAUCCGUCCUCAAAUCAACCCCGUCGUCCCAACCAUUGCUUGGGCUUUGUUCUAGGCCUCAAUAUGAUGCCAUGGGUGGUGGCAAUUGAAAGAAAUCAUUUCAGAAUUGAGAGAAUCGAAGGCUAGGGUUCAUCGCACCCACCGGUGUGAUUUUGCUAAUUUGGAGGCCAAUUAUCACCAAAUUUGGGGUGGGAAGGAUAAAGGAUAGGUCCUAGAGUGUUUCCCGAGUGGUUAGGCGGUUCAAUUCGACUGAAAAAUGGGUGGAAACGCACCAGAAACAGCAAGAGAUCCCGACCGGGUCGGGUUGCACACCCACGGGUCAGGGAUCCCCCGCACCUCCUUUCCCUCCUUUCUCUGAAUUCUGAUUGGUCCUUCCCUUUUCUCACUGUUCCGAUUGGUCCAUUUCCUCCCUCCUUGGUUGGGCAGACAAUCCUCCUUCUUUCUUUUGUUUCUGAUUAGG
rnacentral:lncRNA from 1 species